AAUUGGAGGCUUGAGAGCCCAUGGAUGGCAUAAUGUUGAUAGGGGUUUAUCAGCCAAAUGUGUGGGACUCGAGCUAGACCUGAUCAUUUCAUGGGCGGCUUGCUUGGCCUGCUUGAGCCCAACUGGUUUAAAAUGACCUUGGGCUAUAAUUUUUGGCCCAGUGGAUCAAGCCAAGUCUAAAAAAUCAAAUUCGAUUUAUAAAACAGAUCGGGCUUGGACUUACGUCGAUCCAGCUUGAACUAAUAUAUCAAGCCCC
rnacentral:lncRNA from 1 species